GGCACUGUGGGGCAGUGGUUAGCAAUGCUGCACUGCCACAGCAGGAAGGUCCUGAGUUUGAUUCCCAGCCGGCCA